AAACAAGAUUUAUCAUGAGAAGUCAGCAGAGACCAUAGUACCCGAAGAAGAUGACUUCAACGGGGAAGGGU
rfam:Desulfitobacterium dichloroeliminans LMG P-21439, complete genome.